UACGAAGGGGGCUAGCGUUGUUCGGAAUUACUGGGCGUAAAGCGCGCGCAGGCGGCUCUCCAAGUCAGUGGUGAAAGCCCGGAGCUCAACUCCGGAACUGCCAUUGAAACUGUUUAGCUUGAGGACGAGAGAGGUGAGUGGAAUUCCCAGUGUGGAGGUGAAAUUCGUAGAUAUUGGGAAGAACACCGGUGGCGAAGGCGGCUCACUGGCUCGUAUCUGACGCUCAGGCGCGACAGCGUGGGGAUCAAACAGG
rnacentral:rRNA from 1 species